ACAAAGGAGGGAGAACAAGAGAGGGAGACCGAAAAAGAAAUUGAGAGUUGCGAGCUACGAGCUGCCCCAAAUUGAGAUCAACAAUUAAGGGAAUGAUGCAUCCAAUCGAUCUACACAUGAGCAGGAAACAAAAACAACAAAGCAAUUAUAAGAUCAUGACCUAACAAAUUAACUAUAGCAACCAAAAGCAAGUGUGCCUUUACCC
rnacentral:lncRNA from 1 species